UCUCACUGUAAAUAAAAUCCAGCAGUUUUUGUCCAGGGCUACACUGAAGACAACCUGUUCAAGAGAAACAAGCCAACAUGAAAUCCUUGUCUGUGGCUGUUGUCGUGCUGCUGCUGGUGCUGUCGUUACACUGUGAGGACAGUGUGGUUGAUGGAAAAUGCUGUUAUAAUGGAAAAGGACUCUGUAAAUCAUACAACGAAUGUAAGAGAUUUGGGGGACAUCCUGCCUUUAGGACAGAAUGUGGAUUUUCAAGGUGUUGUAUAUGACCCAUGGCAAGUAUCAUCAGAGAAUCCAUGGCUCGAUCCUCCAAAAUCAUAACCAAGUCUAAUGGGACGUCACCAAGAGGAAUUACUCCAGACUCCAAUCCAGAAACAUGAAAGCUGUUGAUGCUGUGAUAAUGAAGACUUUCAAGCAACAACAAAAGAUCAUAUUCACUACAUAAUAAAAUUAUUAUUAUAACUAUUGCAUUUUUUUAUAGAUAAACUUUGUUAAAGAUUUACAACCAAGUCAAUUUUAAAGAUUGACUGUAAUUCUGAUUUUCUGAGGUGUUCAAUGCAAUCCUUUGUAAAUGUUUAAUUAGUUUACUUAAAGUAAUACGACCCUGUGGACUA